rnacentral:rRNA from 1 species
CAGUUCGGAUUGAAGGCUGAAAUUCGCCUUCAUGAAGCCGGAAUUGCUAGUAAUGGCAGGUCAGCAUACUGCCGUGAAUACGUUCCCGGGCCUUGUACACACCGCCCGUCACACCAUGAGAGUUGGGAAUACCCGAAGCCUGUGAGCUAACGUUAAGAGGCAGCAGUCGAAGGUAGAAUCAAUGAUUGGGGUGAAGUCGUAACAAGGUAUC